AUUAACAUUUUUCUUAUUUAGAAAAGGGUAUUCAUCCUCUUAUUAACCGAUCUUUAUAAUUUUGUUUUUAUAUAUUUGAUGUAUCUUUGUCAUAUCUUUAAAUGAAUCCUUGGUGUGCUUGUGCGAAAAAUGUAUAGAGGUGAUGAUGUUGAUGCCUGGGCAUGCAUAAGCCUUUGUCUUCGUAGUAUGAAUAUCAUUCAGGACUUCUUUCGUGAUCUAGUUUCCAUGUGCGACAACAUUAAAAUUGUUUUACCUUUUUUUCCUUUUGCCUUGAAUUGUGAUUAUACCAUUUAUGGGCUACUCAUUAUUGUUUAAAUGUAGAUUUUCAAUCAAAAUUUUGUGAACAUCUAUUUACCUUUGCCGUCACAAAUAAAAACUAGCUUAUAUGAAUUGCACCGCUGGUCUGUUGAAGUCUUGAAGCGGCUGAACCUGAAGCAUAAGCAGCUUCAAUUGCUAGUUGUUGUUUUUCCAGAAGCUAAGGUUUUGUAAUGGCUAAAAGAAAUAUGUGAUACCGAGCUUGUUAUUGUUACUCAGUGCUGCCAGACAAGGCACCCACUACCCAUGGAAGUUAAACAAUACUUGAAAAUUUAGCUUUGAAAAUGAACGUGAAGUAAAGUAUUUAUACUUGAUUUGGUGGUUCGGUGGCAUGGCAAUGGAGGUCUGACGGUGGCGGCAGCCAGACUGCGGUAGUCCGACAACGACGAUGGUGCAGGUUGUGCAGCGAUGGGCGACAAGUCAACGGUAGUUCUGCGGCGGGGGCAAGUCAACGGUAGUUCUGCGGCGGGGGUCGGAUGGUGGCGGUCCUACAAUGGCGAUGGUAAAGGCAGGGCAAUUGUGGUUGGAUGAUAUUGGUGGUCUUGCAGUGAUGGACAUAUGGAGGUAGUCUGACAUCGGUGAUGGCGGUGUCCAAGAAAUAGUGUUCUAGCGGAGGCUGCAAUCAAAUGAUGGUGGAUGGUCAGGCGAAGGUCGUAUCCAAACAUUGGUGGUUUGGUGACGAUGAUGAUUUUGGUCUAGCGGCAACAACUUCCAGACGGUAAUGACCCUAGAGUGGCGAUGACCAGAUGGCGGUGGUGCCAUGGAGACUACAAUGUAGGCCAGGCAACACUUGUCAGAUGACAGUUGUAGCCAAACAAAGGUGGUCCGACAACGACAACGAGAGUGGCUAGGAAGCGGUGUUCCAACUGCAACGACGGUAAUGGCCGAGUAGCAAUAGUCUGGAAAGUGCCAGAAGAUGGUGGUCCAACAGUAGUGACAAUGGUGGCUGGUGGUGGUGAUGCUCAGAAACCCUCAAGGUCUAGAGCUCUUUUAACCUCCUCUAGGUUGAGCCAUAGGUCCAGAUCUCAUUCUAGGCUUCGAUUCUGGUUCCCCCUUCAUGAACAGUAUGUAAGUUUAGUUAUAAAUUUUUUGAAUGUCUUCCUUCGUAAAUGUUGCAAGAAUCCUAACCAC